rnacentral:rRNA from 1 species
GUCCACGCCGUAAACGAUGGAUACUAGCUGUUGGGGUUUACCUCAGUGGCUAAGCGAAAGUGAUAAGUAUCCCACCUGGGGAGUACGUUCGCAAGAAUGAAACUCAAAGGAAUUGACGGGGGCCCCGCACAAGCGGUGGAGCAUGUGGUUUAAUUCGAUGAUACGCGAGGAACCUUACCAAGGCUUAAAUGUAGAUUGACAGGACUGGAAACAGUUUUUUCUUCGGACAAUUUACAAGGUGCUGCAUGGUUGUCGU